rnacentral:rRNA from 1 species
GAUGAACGCUGGCGGCGUGCUUAACACAUGCAAGUCGAACGGGAAACCUUUUAUUGAAGCUUCGGCAGAUUUAGCUGGUUUCUAGUAGCGGACGGGCGUGUAACGCGCGGGUAGCCUGCCUUAUACAGGGGGAUAACAACCAGAAAUGGUUGCUAAUCCCGCAUAACCGCACAGGACCGCAUGGUCCGGUGGGGAAUACUCCGGGGGUAUAAGAUGGUGCCGCGUUGGAUUUGCUAGUUGGCAGGGUAACGGCCUACCAAGGCGACGAUGCAUAGCCGGCCGGAGAGGGUGAACGGCCGCGAUGGGACUGAGACACGGCCCAGACUCCUACGGGAGGCAGCAGUGGGGAAUAUUGCACAAUGGGGGAAACCGUGAUGAAGCGACGCCGCGUGAAGGAAGAAGUAUCUCGGUAUGUAAACUUCUAUCAGCAGGGAAGAUAGUGACGGUACCUGACUAAGAAGCCCCGGCUAACUACGUG